CCUGUCUCAGCCGCUCAGGAGACGUCAUUGAACCUCUUCUAAAGAAGCAGUGGUUCGUCCGCUGUGAUGAAAUGGCUAAAAAAGCUGUAGAGGCUGUGGAGGACGGACAGCUGGAAAUCAUCCCUCACUACUACACCAAGACAUGGAAGAAGUGGCUGUCCAACAUCAGUGACUGGUGCAUUUCCAGGCAGCUUUGGUGGGGUCAUCAGAUCCCUGCUUACCGAGUGGAGCUUCCUAACUGUCCUGUCAAAGAAGAGG